UGAGGAAUAUUGGUCAAUGGGCGGAAGCCUGAACCAGCCAUCCCGCGUGCAGGAAGACAGCCCUAUGGGUUGUAAACUGCUUUUCCAGUGGGCGAAACACUCGUACGUGUACGAGAUUGACGGUACACUGGGAAUAAGCAUCGGCUAACUCCGUGCCAGCAGCCGCGGUAAUACGGAGGAUGCAAGCGUUAUCCGGAUUUAUUGGGUUUAAAGGGUGCGUAGGCGGAUGAAUAAGUCAGUGGUGAAAGGCUGCAGCUUAACUGUAGACUUGCCGUUGAUACUGUUUAUCUUGAGUAUGGUCAAGGCAGGCGGAAUGUGUAAUGUAGCGGUGAAAUGCUUAGAUAUUACACAGAACACCGAUUGCGAAGGCAGCUUGCUGGGCCAUUACUGACGCUGAUGCACGAAAGCGUGGGGAGCGAACAG
rnacentral:rRNA from 1 species